rnacentral:rRNA from 1 species
AUACGGAGGACGCGAGCGUUAUCCGGAUUCAUUGGGUUUAAAGGGUGCGCAGGCGGCCGUGCAAGUCAGCGGUGAAAGCCCGGGGCUCAACCCCGGAAGUGCCGUUGAUACUGCGUGGCUGGAAUGCGGUCGAGGCGGGCGGGAAGUGGCGUGUAGCGGGGAAAUGCGUAGAUAUGCCACAGAACGCCGAUAGCGGAGGCAGCUCGCCAGGCCUGCAUUGACGCUCGGGCACGAAAGCGUGGGGAUCGAACAGGAUUAGAUACCCUGGUAGUCCACGCCGUAAACGAUGGGCGCUCGUCGUCGGCGGCAGACAGUCGGCGGCCAAGCGAAAGCGAUAAGCGCCCCACCUGGGGAGUACGGUCGCAAGGCUGAAACUCAAAUGAAUUGGCGGGG